rnacentral:rRNA from 1 species
GAAGGGUGCAAGCGUUACUCGGAAUUACUGGGCGUAAAGCGUGCGUAGGUGGUGCGUUAAGUCUGUCGUGAAAGCCCCGGGCUCAACCUGGGAAUGGCGAUGGAUACUGGCGCGCUAGAGUGCGGUAGAGGAGAGUGGAAUUCCCGGUGUAGCAGUGAAAUGCGUAGAGAUCGGGAGGAACAUCAGUUGCGAAGGCGGCUCUCUGGACCAGCACUGACACUGAGGCACGAAAGCGUGGGGAGCAAACAGGAUUAGAUACCCUGGUAGUCCACGCUCUAAACGAUGCGAACUGGACGUUGGGAGCAACUAGGCUCUCAGUGUCGAAGCUAACGCGUUAAGUUCGCCGCCUGGGGAGUACGGUCGCAAGACUG